rnacentral:misc_RNA from 1 species
UCUCCGUUGGUGAACCAGCGGAGGGAUCAUUACCAGGGUUUUACAACUCCCAACCCUUCUGUGAACCAACCUAUCGUUGCUUCGGCGGAGUCGCCCCCGCGGCCGGACGGCCCCGCGCCGGCCCGCGACCUGGACCCAGACGGCCGCCCGACACCAAACAAUCCUGUAUCCAUCAGUUCCUCUGAAUCCGCAGCAUGCUAAAACAAACGAAUCAAAACUUUCAACAAUGGAUCUCUUGGUUCUG